GAGUUUGAUCCUGGCUCAGAUUGAACGCUGGCGGCAGGCCUAACACAUGCAAGUCGAACGGUAACAGGAAGAAGCUUGCUUCUUUGCUGACGAGUGGCGGACGGGUGAGUAAUGUCUGGGAAACUGCCUGAUGGAGGGGGAUAACUACUGGAAACGGUAGCUAAUACCGCAUAACGUCGCAAGACCAAAGAGGGGGACCUUCGGGCCUCUUGCCAUCGGAUGUGCCCAGAUGGGAUUAGCUAGUAGGUGGGGUAACGGCUCACCUAGGCGACGAUCCCUAGCUGGUCUGAGAGGAUGACCAGCCACACUGGAACUGAGACACGGUCCAGACUCCUACGGGAGGCAGCAGUGGGGAAUAUUGCACAAUGGGCGCAAGCCUGAUGCAGCCAUGCCGCGUGUAUGAAGAAGGCCUUCGGGUUGUAAAGUACUUUCAGCGGGGAGGAAGGGAGUAAAGUUAAUACCUUUGCUCAUUGACGUUACCCGC
rnacentral:rRNA from 1 species